UGUGUGUUGGAGUAAGAAAGGACAUACAGAAUAAAAUAAAAAUCACAAAUCUGGAAACGACAUGUAUACGUCAGCUGAUGAACUGAAACCAGACAAAACCAAUUUCAAAACAUUGGUUAAAAAUACACAUGCUCCUGAGAUACCAGGGAUCCUGUCAACUAUUGCUUUUUGGACCUGUCUGAUUCAUCAUGAUGCCCUACUUCUAUAUGGAGUUCACAUCAAUUGGAAACCAUUAGAUGUGUGUGUGUGGAGGAGCCAUUGGAGCCAAACAUUGAGAGGGAACCCAUCCUCAUCUGGGU